rnacentral:tRNA from 1 species
AGAGAUUUAGGUUAAUUAAUUAGACCUAGAGCCUUCAAAGCCCUAAGCGAGAGUGAAAAUCUUUCAACCUCUG